UACUAGGAAGUGAGAAAAUUACAUGCGGUUUCGGCCCGUUUCUUGAUAGUGAAAGUCUGUCCCUAUUAA
rnacentral:tRNA from 1 species